rnacentral:rRNA from 1 species
UACGUAGGGGGCAAGCGUUGUCCGGAAUCAUUGGGCGUAAAGAGCGUGUAGGCGGCCCGGUAAGUCCGCUGUGAAAGUCGGGGGCUCAACCCUCGAAUGCCGGUGGAUACUGUCGGGCUAGAGUGCGGAAGAGGCGAGUGGAAUUCCUGGUGUAGCGGUGAAAUGCGCAGAUAUCAGGAGGAACACCAAUUGCGAAGGCAGCUCGCUGGGACGUAACUGACACUGAGGCGCGAAAGCGUGGGGAGCGAACAGG